AGCAGCCGCGGUAAUUCCAGCUCCAAUAGCGUAUAUUAAAGUUGUUGCAGUUAAAAAGCUCGUAGUUGAAUUUCGGGAUCAGUACGCCGGUCGUGCCUUCGGUAUGUACUGGUGUCACUGAUUCCUCCCUUCUGAAGAACCGUUAUGCCAUUAAUUUGGUGUGACGGGGAAUCAGGACUGUUACUUUGAAAAAAAUUAGAGUGUUUAAAGCAGGCUCGCGCUUGAAUACAUUAGCAUGGAAUAAUGAAAUAGGACGUUUGAUCUUAUUUUUGUUGGUUUCUAGGAUCGACGUAAUGAUUAAUAGGGAUAGUUGGGGCAUUAGUAUUCAAUUGUCAGAGGUGAAAUUCUUGGAUUUAUUGAAGACUAACUACUGCGAAAGCAUUUGCCAAGGAUGUUUUCAUUAAUCAAGAACGAAAGUUAGGGGAUCGAAGACGAUCAGAUACCGUCGUA
rnacentral:rRNA from 1 species